rnacentral:rRNA from 1 species
GAUGAACGCUAGCGGCAGGCUUAACACAUGCAAGUCGAGGGGUAUUGGUUUUCGGACCAAGAGACCGGCGCACGGGUGCGUAACGCGUAUGCAAUCUACCUUUUGCAGAGGGAUAGCCCAGAGAAAUUUGGAUUAAUACCUCAUAGUAUAGUACUUUGGCAUCAAGGAACUAUUAAAGUCACAACGGCAAAAGAUGAGCAUGCGUCCAUUAGCUAGUUGGUAAGGUAACGGCUUACCAAGGCUACGAUGGGUAGGGGUCCUGAGAGGGAGAUCCCCCCANACUGGUACUGAGACACGGACCAGACUCCUACGGGAGCAGCAGUGAGGAAUAUUGGACAA